UGGGAAUCUUGCACAAUGGGCGAAAGCCUGAUGCAGCAACGCCGCGUGCGGGAAGACAGCCCUAGGGUUGUAAACCGCUUUCAGCAGGGAAGAAACUGACGGUACCUGCAGAAGAAGAUGCGGCCAACUACGUGCCAGCAGCCGCGGUGACACGUAGGCAUCAAGCGUUAUCCGGAUUUAUUGGGCGUAAAGAGCUCGUAGGCGGUCCGUUGCGUCUGCCGUGAAAACCCGGAGCUCAACUCCGGGCCUGCGGUGGAUACGGGCGGACUAGAGUCCGGUAGGGGAGACUGGAAUUCCUGGUGUAGCGGUGGAAUGCGCAGAUAUCAGGAGGAACACCGGUGGCGAAGGCGGGUCUCUGGGCCGGAACUGACGCUGAGGAGCGAAAGCGUGGGGAGCGAACAGGAUUAGAUACCCUGGUAGUCCACGCCGU
rnacentral:rRNA from 1 species